AAGAAUUAAGAUUUCAAGUGGAAACAUGGCUAUGGGAAGUUUUUUUGCAGCUGUACCUGCCGUUGCUGCUGCUGUUGGAUUUUAUUUCGUUGACAGAAACUAUAUCAAGGAAAUCAAACAAGGUUCAUCAGUAUCCAAUAAAAAAAUGCUAGCAGAAGUGAAAGAACAAGCAAAGACCCUUCAAAAGCCAAAAUUGGCACCACAGCUUGAUGGAUUACAUUGUUUCGAAACCUUGGUGAUGAAUUGAAUUUGCUGGGGCUGGGGCUGUGUUGUACCUUAUGCUGAAUGAAUGAUAGAUUAUAUAUUUGUUAAUAUGUAUUUCCAUCUUA